UCUGAUUUGUUUCAUUGAGUCUUUUCAUAACAGCAGAGCUUUGAUGAGUUUUGUGUUGAUGGAAGGAGGAUCAGGAAUAGAGCAGAGGACCUGCUGAUCUACUGGUUCUAGUAGAUUUUAUAAAUGCAUGACUGAAACAAGUCAACAGCACUGGACCAAUGAGAAGAGAGAAGACACAGAGGACUGAGGAGACAGAAAAUCCUGCUGGAAAUCCAGAGAAGUUUCCUGAUGCGUCAGGGGGACAGCUGAGGACGGGACACAGAAUAAAGAGACAGAGAUCAUGUGAAGUGGAUCCUGAUCAGCCUGGAAUCCUCCACCUUCAACACCGUCAGUCAGGUGGAGGAAGAUAAGAGAACCCAGUUGACGAAAAAAUUGACCAACAAAUAAAGCAGAAGACCUGCUCCACCUGCUGAUCUACUGGUUGGAAGAGAUUGUGGAAAAGCGAGACAAGACAACAACUUUUGACCAAUGAGGAGAGAGAAGACACAGAGGACUGAGGAGACGCAGAAAAUCCUGCUGGAAAUCAAUAAAAAUGUUUCCUGAUGGAACAGGGGGACGGCUGAGGACAGGACACAACAUAAAGAGACAGAGAUCAUGUGAAAUUCAAGGAUGGCCUUUCAACCCUGGAUUUCAUUUAUGCUUUGGAGCUUCAUGCUUCUGUGUUCAGGCCCUUUAUGUGCGGAAAAGCUGACAUCAGAAAUGUGAGAGGAAAUCUUUGAAGUUCAGCUCAGCGAAAAGGGCAGCACCAGACGACAAGAAGAAACCAGACUGCUAGGAUUCUCCUUGAGACAGACCAAACCUCGCAUUCCUGUUCAAACUCUGACAAGAUACCAAAGCCCAAGACAUACGAUCAGUUUCAAAGAAGACAUGAACUUUGAAUUAUAAAACUCUUUGGACUUUAUUAAGUUCAAAUACAGAAUCACAAAACAUAAAUGUGGAUGUUGGCCUGUGAAGGCAGAUGUUAACUUGUGAAACCUGCUCUGUCAAAGUUCUGACUCUGCUGCGUUGUGGUUGUUUGACAACCUUUAAAUUUUAGACUCAUUUAUUUCCAAGUCCACCAUGUUUUCCAGUCUUGUGUAGUUUUCCACAUAGGAUUCCCAAGUUAGUGGAUGCACUAGGCCACUGUCUCUGGAGGUCCUCAAACUGUCCCUAAAGACGGUCAUUGACUGCUGAUUGACUCGGUCAUAAACUGUCCCAAUUCCUCCUGGGAGUCUGGGAACCUACAGUCUGUUCUGCCAAACCCAGGAGUAAAAUAUGCAUCAAAACAGGACACAUAGUUUAGUUAUAUAUUUAUAUUUCUUCCUUCAACUGUCACUACCAACUGCUACGACUAUUGUUGAAAACUGUUGUAAUGUUUAAUUGUAUUUACAUAUAAAUAUUAGAAAUGAAAAUGUUUAUGUCAUCAGAAACUGUUCCAAUAAAAAGUGACAUAUUAUUAACACAUG